CCAGGGAUCGCCGAAAACCUGCAGAAAAGAGUAGGCA
rfam:Chitinophaga sancti strain DSM 784 genome assembly, contig: LX65DRAFT_scaffold00013.13